rnacentral:lncRNA from 1 species
UACGAUUAAAAUCUUAUUGUUUUUUUCUUUUUAUUCUUUAUUUUCUAGGCAAUUAAGUAAAUAUAGCAUUAGUGUAUUAGUUAUUGAUUUUAUGUAUCUUUUAAAUAUUGAGCCAAAUGUUAGCGCUGGUACUGCAGAUCAUCAUUCUACACAUCAGUGAAACAAUGAAUGCUAUUCUGACAACAAAACACAAAAAGGAGAUUAUUCAGUUUAUCAAUCUACACCAAGUACAUACUAAUCAAAACCCCAUGAAUAUCUAACACUGAAAUUGCACAUUAGUUUAAUAUCUAAACUAUAGCAAUGUGCUCAUAUAGAACGAUGAUGGCAAAUGGAGAUUCUAUGUAAAGGGCAGUAGUGUUGGAAGUAUAGGAGGAGGAUGCCAAAUAUUAGUUUAUGAAGAGGAAGUAAUUUUUGAAAUUAGAAGAGGUAAGGUUAACACUCAAGAUUUUUUGAACUCUCAAACUCACUUUUAAUCUUUUUCUUCUCUUAUAACAAUUGACUAGAUACCAUCCUAUAUAUAGAACUCAAAGGAUGUUCUAGUCCUUAACAAGAUACUUUUUAA